rnacentral:piRNA from 1 species
UGGGCUGCGUGAAGUUAGAAUGUAGGGCC